UCGUCACAUCGCCUGAUUUCUAAGUAGCGAUUGUCCAUAGAGAAAGAACAAUUGGUUAGGAUCCGGUUUGUUCUGGAUAGGUGCCUGGACGUGCUAAUGCUGCCGAUGUCCUGAUUCUGUGUUGGUUGUUUGUCUUUGGCAUGAUGCUCUCUCUUCGUGGUCCUUUAGAAUUUACUGUUGUUGAAAUGAUGUUGGGAGUUUAUUGUAGAUUGCUAAAAUUCACUAAAGUUUACUUGAAUUGGCUGUAAUUUGUUCAAAAUUGUUGAAACUCACUAGAAAAUACUUGAGUCUUGUUGAAAUAAACUUGGUGAUGUUCUUGCAGGAUAUAGAUGAUUGUGCAAAUGUGUUUCGUUCAUCGAAGCAUUGGCAAUUGGAAUGUCAGACUGUCUUUGUUGAAGCAAACCGCUAAAGGAAGUGAUUGUGCAUGUCUCUUUUAUCAGUGGAGAGCCAGGAACUCCAAGCUGCAUUGAGUCUCUUCCUCUUGUUGAUGCUGUGAUUCAAAUUGUGAGAUUCACAGUCAAACACUACUUCGAAGAAUGUAGGGACUUUUGAAGUAGGAUCAUCUCUGUGUUGCAAUGGAGAUUACCUGCUGCGGAGAAGUGGUUCAGUGGAGGAGAGCAACCUUAUAUUUAUGGACCUCUAGAUCAGUAGUGUCCAUUAUGCAGGAGCUUUUAGAUUUUAAAGGGUGUAUAUACAUUGGAUUUGUAAUGUUCUGGUAUAUUUUGAUCAUAGAAGUUGAACCUUCUGUUUCUUGGCCCUUGAUGUAAUCAGUUCAUGUUAAUUAAUAUAAAGUCUCUUUGCUACAAAACAAA